UUUCCCUCAGGAUAGCUGGCACUCGCUAGAGCGAGUCUCAUCUGGUAAAGCGAAUGAUUAGAGGCCUUGGGGCCGAAACGACCUCAACCUAUUCUCAAACUUUAAAUGGGUGAGAUCUCUGGCUUGCUUGAACGUUGAAGCCACGAGAUUUUAAUGCAAUGGAUCAGAGUGCCAAGUGGGCCAAUUUUGGUAAGCAGAACUGGCGCUGUGGGA
rnacentral:rRNA from 1 species